AAGAGAUUUUGGUUGAUCUUCUCCCUUUUUGGGGAGCCACAAAAACCCCACCUCCAUUCCCUUCACGUCCCAAACGACUACCUCCAGCGAGGUCGACCACCCUCAACCAGUCAGCCCCGUUCCAAAGACCACCAGAAACGCACGCACAAGCUUAAAACAGUUGAACCCGCCUGGGAGCUCAUUUCCGAAAUCUGUUCUGCUCAUCGAGGUUUCCGGUCUGCCGAGGUGACGAGGUCGCCCUUUCGAGGUUUCCGAUCUUGUCUUUGGUUCGAAUACCCGUUGUUGCUAUACUGUUGAUUGGUGGCGUUUUAAUCCCAGGUGUGUUCGUCUCGCUUAACAAUUUUCUGGUUGCAGAACUCAAAGUUCGGAUUUAUAACAAAUGGCAUAGUCUUCG
rnacentral:lncRNA from 1 species